GAGUUUGAUCAUGGCUCAGAUUGAACGCUGGCGGCAGGCCUAACACAUGCAAGUCGAACGGUAACAGGAAGCAGCUUGCUGCUUCGCUGACGAGUGGCGGACGGGUGAGUAAUGUCUGGGAAGCUGCCUGAUGGAGGGGGAUAACUACUGGAAACGGUAGCUAAUACCGCAUAAUGUCGCAAGACCAAAGAGGGGGACCUUCGGGCCUCUUGCCAUCGGAUGUGCCCAGAUGGGAUUAGCUAGUAGGUGGGGUAACGGCUCACCUAGGCGACGAUCCCUAGCUGGUCUGAGAGGAUGACCAGCCACACUGGAACUGAGACACGGUCCAGACUCCUACGGGAGGCAGCAGUGGGGAAUAUUGCACAAUGGGCGCAAGCCUGAUGCAGCCAUGCCGCGUGUAUGAAGAAGGCCUUCGGGUUGUAAAGUACUUUCAGCGGGGAGGAAGGGAGUAAAGUUAAUACCUUUGCUCAUUGACGUUACCCGCAGAAGAAGCACCGGCUAACUCCGUGCCAGCAGCCGCGGUAAUACGGAGGGUGCAAGCGUUAAUCGGAAUUACUGGGCGUAAAGCGCACGCAGGCGGUUUGUUAAGUCAGAUGUGAAAUCCCCGGGCUCAACCUGGGAACUGCAUCUGAUACUGGCAAGCUUGAGUCUCGUAGAGGGGGGUAGAAUUCCAGGUGUAGCGGUGAAAUGCGUAGAGAUCUGGAGGAAUACCGGUGGCGAAGGCGGCCCCCUGGACGAAGACUGACGCUCAGGUGCGAAAGCGUGGGGAGCAAACAGGAUUAGAUACCCUGGUAGUCCACGCCGUAAACGAUGUCGACUUGGAGGUUGUGCCCUUGAGGCGUGGCUUCCGGAGCUAACGCGUUAAGUCGACCGCCUGGGGAGUACGGCCGCAAGGUUAAAACUCAAAUGAAUUGACGGGGGCCCGCACAAGCGGUGGAGCAUGUGGUUUAAUUCGAUGCAACGCGAAGAACCUUACCUGGUCUUGACAUCCACGGAAGUUUUCAGAGAUGAGAAUGUGCCUUCGGGAACCGUGAGACAGGUGCUGCAUGGCUGUCGUCAGCUCGUGUUGUGAAAUGUUGGGUUAAGUCCCGCAACGAGCGCAACCCUUAUCCUUUGUUGCCAGCGGUCCGGCCGGGAACUCAAAGGAGACUGCCAGUGAUAAACUGGAGGAAGGUGGGGAUGACGUCAAGUCAUCAUGGCCCUUACGACCAGGGCUACACACGUGCUACAAUGGCGCAUACAAAGAGAAGCGACCUCGCGAGAGCAAGCGGACCUCAUAAAGUGCGUCGUAGUCCGGAUUGGAGUCUGCAACUCGACUCCAUGAAGUCGGAAUCGCUAGUAAUCGUGGAUCAGAAUGCCACGGUGAAUACGUUCCCGGGCCUUGUACACACCGCCCGUCACACCAUGGGAGUGGGUUGCAAAAGAAGUAGGUAGCUUAACCUUCGGGAGGGCGCUUACCACUUUGUGAUUCAUGACUGGGGUGAAGUCGUAACAAGGUAACCGUAGGGGAACCUGCGGUUGGAUCACC
rnacentral:rRNA from 1 species